rnacentral:tRNA from 1 species
GGGCGAGUGGCGAAAUGGCAGACGCGCCGGCCUUAGGAGCCGGUGUCCCGUGAGGGACGUAAGGGUUCGAGUCCCUUCUUGCCCACCA